rnacentral:rRNA from 1 species
GACAGAGGGUGCAAACGUUGUUCGGAAUUACUGGCGUAAGCGCGCGCAGGCGGUUCCUUAAGUCUGAUGUGAAAGCCCCCGGCUCAACCCGGGGAGGGUCAUUGGAAACUGGGGAACUUGAGUGCAGAAGAGAAGAGCGGAAUUCCACGUGUAGCGGUGAAAUGCGUAGAGAUGUGGAGGAACACCAGUGGCGAAGGCGGCUCUUGGUCUGUAACUGACGCUGAGGCGCGAAAGCGUGGGGAGCAAACAGG